UAUAGCUCAGUGGCACAAGCGCCUGCCUGGCAAGCAGAAGGUCCUGAGUUUGAUUCUUUGUA
rnacentral:tRNA from 1 species